rnacentral:lncRNA from 1 species
UAACUCAGACCGUGCCCGAACCGGUACACCACCGGGCCCUUGUAGAAUCGGUAGGUCCUUCCAGGGUAGGCCUUUGAUGGGAUUGCGCGCAUGGCCAUGGUUGUCAUGGGCACUUUGGAAAGGUAUUCCUGGGGAUACCAUGUCAUAGGUAGCUUCCCUCCUGAGCCACACGUGACAUGAUCAUUCACGUCAUUCUAUCUAAUUUUUUUUCAUGCAAUUAAGAGUAUUAAUUUAUAUGCUUACCUGGAUUGGCGACUCCAAAAAGGAUAUCGGCUAUGGCAGCUCCUCCAGCUUGGCCCGGGUAUCCGGCCCAUACAAUGGCAGCAAUUCGCGGGUCUUUCUUGGCGAAAGACACAUCCACAGGCCCACCACUCAUCAAGACCAACACAGUUGGGCCCCUGGAGGCCAUGGCAACCUUAGAUACAAGUUCCUGUUGGCGCCCAGGCAAAAGUAGGUCGGCACGGUCUUUAGCUUCUGCCUCAAUGGACUGGUCCAGGCCCAUCACCAACACC